UUAGGCAUGCAAGUCGAACGCGAAAGGGGAGCUUGCUCCUGAGUAAAGUGGCGAACGGGUGAGUAACGCGUGGGAAAUCUGCCUUGGAGCGUGGAAUAACACCCCUAACGGGGUGCUAAUACCGCAUGUGGUCGUUGGACGACAUCGUCUGACGAUUAAAGAUGGGGACCGCAAGGCCUGUCACUCCAGGAUGAUCCCGCGUCCGAUUAGCUUGUUGGUAGGGUAACGGCCUACCAAGGCGACGAUCGGUAGCUGGUCUGAGAGGAUGGCCAGCCACAUUGGGACUGAGAUACGGCCCAGACUCCUACGGGAGGCAGCAGUGGGGAAUAUUGCGCAAUGGCCGAAAGGCUGACGCAGCGACGCCGCGUGUGGGAUGACGGCCUUCGGGUUGUAAACCACUGUUGGGAGGGACGAAGGCCCCGCAAGGGGAUUGACGGUACCUCCAGAGGAAGCACCGGCUAACUCCGUGCCAGCAGCCGCGGUAAUGCGGAGGGUGCGAGCGUUGUCCGGAAUCACUGGGCGUAAAGGGCGCGUAGGCGGCGCGAUAAGUCGAAUGUGAAAUCCCGGGGCUCAACUCCGGGGCUGCACCCGAGACUGUCGUGCUCGAGCGUGGUAGAGGCGAGUGGAAUUCCCGGUGUAGCGGUGGAAUGCGUAGAGAUCGGGAAGAACACCAGUGGCGAAGGCGGCUCGCUGGGCCAUUGCUGACGCUGAGGCGCGAAAGCGUGGGGAGCAAACAGGAUUAGAUACCCUGGUAGUCCACGCCGUAAACGAUGGGCACUAGGCGCCGGGGGGAGCGACCCUUUCGGUGCCGUCGCUAACGCAGUAAGUGCCCCGCCUGGGGAGUACGGUCGCAAGACUGAAACUCAAAGGAAUUGACGG
rnacentral:rRNA from 1 species